rnacentral:rRNA from 1 species
UACGUAGGGUGCAAGCGUUUGUCCGGAAUUAUUGGGCGUAAAGAGCUCGUAGGCGGUUUUGUCGCGUCUGCUGUGAAAACUCAGGGCUUAACCCUGAGCCUGCAGUGGGUACGGGCAGACUAGAGUGUGGUAGGGGAGAUCGGAAUCCUGGUGUAGCGGUGGAAUGCGCAGAUAUCAGGAGGAACACCGGUGGCGAAGGCGGAUCUCUGGGCCAUAACUGACGCUGGAGGAGCGAAAAGCAUGGGGAGCGAACAGG